AUAAAACAGAAAUAGACAAAUAGAGAACUAUAUACACAACAUUUCACCUUUCUCUACAUCCAGUGGGAUUUCUGAUGUGUGGUUUCCUCUAAUGAACACAUGUGACUUCUUACCUGUCUACACUGAUCAUGUGACUAUUUGCCAACAGGUAACGGGUUCACGACUGUCUGCAGGGACUCAGAUUUCAUCCAGUUUUAGAUCUAUAUUUGAUCAGCAGCAUGAGCAGAGAACGUGCACCGCUGAACUUGAGUCCACGUGUCUCUGUUUCAAUGUCAACAUGAGAACCUGCACGCUGUUGAAAUCCCGCCACUAUGAAUCAUCUCUGCAGCAGCUGUUUAUUUGUUUUUCUUGUAUGGAUCAAGUUUUUAUGAUUAACCUGAAG